GAUGGAGCUGGAUGCAGAUUACACAUGCUGCUUGACAGUACCAAUGUAUGGCAUGCUGGGAAGUCAACCUCAGGAUGCAAAUCAGAAACAGUUCUAUGUGGGGGAAAAUGUCAAGGCACGAACUAUAAAGCCUGGAGUUGAGAGAUGACAGAUGACAAGAGUAGAGACAUCCUUUGUUGUCAGUCUUGUUUAGCAGAAGAAUGGCUCCAUAUUCCAGAAGUUAAUGAACAUAUUCAACACUCUAAUGGUGCCAAGUGUUCUUCUUCUACAUUAGCAGUGCAUCUUUGGAGUUGAUUUCUAAUCACGC
rnacentral:lncRNA from 1 species